rnacentral:lncRNA from 1 species
GUCGGCGCGGAGGGUGACGGGGCACGAGCACGGCGUCGCGGUCGGGGUCGAACAUGGCUGGGCGUCGAGGGCUCCGGCAGCGUUGAGGCAGAAGCUUGACGAGGUGCUGUCGAAGACCGGCGUCGCGGCUCGGUGGCGCUCCAUGGCGGCGGCUGCUCGGCGUUGAUGCUCCAAGGGCGAGGGCGUCGCGAUGGGGGGG